UAUCUCGGCUCUUGCAUCGAUGAAGAACGUAGCGAAAUGCGAUACUUGGUGUGAAUUGCAGAAUCCCGUGAACCAUCGAGUCUUUGAACGCAAGUUGCGCCUGAAGCCAUUAGGUUGAAGGCACGUCUGCCUGGGCGUCACGCAUUGCGUCACCCACCCCCCCGUGCCUCCUUUUGUGGGCGCG
rnacentral:rRNA from 1 species